rnacentral:rRNA from 1 species
UACGUAGGUGACGAGCGUUGUCCGGAUUUACUGGGCGUAAAGAGCGCGCAGGCGGUCGUUCAAGUCGAGUGUGAAAGCCCCCGGCUCAACUGGGGAGGGUCACUCGAUACUGAUCGACUCGAAGGCAGGAGAGGGUAGUGGAAUUCCCGGUGUAGUGGUGAAAUGCGUAGAUAUCGGGAGGAACACCAGUGGCGAAGGCGGCUCACUGGCCCGGUACUAACGCUGAGGUGCGAAAGCGUGGGGAGCAAACAGG